rnacentral:rRNA from 1 species
GACGAACGCUGGCGGCGUGCUUAACACAUGCAAGUCGAACGGAAAGGCCCUGCUUUUGUGGGGUGCUCGAGUGGCGAACGGGUGAGUAACACGUGAGUAACCUGCCCUUGACUUUGGGAUAACUUCAGGAAACUGGGGCUAAUACCGGAUAGGAGCCCCUGCUGCAUGGUGGGGGUUGGAAAGUUUCGGCGGUUGGGGAUGGACUCGCGGCUUAUCAGCUUGUUGGUGGGGUAGUGGCUUACCAAGGCUUUGACGGGUAGCCGGCCUGAGAGGGUGACCGGCCACAUUGGGACUGAGAUACGGCCCAGACUCCUACGGGAGGCAGCUGUGGGGAAUAUUGCACAAUGGGCGGAAGCCUGAUGCAGCAACGCCGCGUGCGGGAUGACGGCCUUCGGGUUGUAAACCGCUUUCGCCUGUGACGAAGCGUGAGUGACGGUAAUGGGUAAAGAAGCACCGGCUAACUACGUG